rnacentral:lncRNA from 1 species
UUUUCUUGAAUGAUUUGGUUCUGGACAGCAUGUCCAUUUGGGGCAGCAACUUGUGGAUUAGGUUCAGCCAUUGGUGCGGCUUGAUGGUGUGGUUGGGGUGUUUCAGAUGAAACUUCUGCGCAGGACACUCCUUCGGGUGCGAUGGGAGCUUCUUCAGGCGAAACUGCUUGCUUUCCUAAUCUUUUGAGAGUGCGUUCAAUCUCCGGAUCAAAGGGCAGUGUGUUCCUGCGUUCAGAUCUGGUCAGGAAAGAAAAAUAAACAAGUAAAAUCAAUUCCCCAGCAACGGCGCCAAUUUUUGACUUGCAGUCGUCGAAGCCGGUCAAAAAU